GGGCGCCAUCGGCGCCGUUCAGGGUAGAAGGAAGAGUCGUGCGAGGGGCAGAGGAGGAAGGAGCCUCUGUCGCACCGCCACCGCGCCGUUGUCGUCGCUGGAGAAGCUUCGUGCAACGCCGUCGCUCCCUGGUGCCACUGAAGAAGCCGCCGACGUUCGUGCCUCCCGCCACUAUCAGCUGUGUCAUCACCGAACCUUGCCUCGCCGCCGUUGACCUCCUCGCAGUCCACUGCCGCCGAAUGAGUACCACGGAGAACAGAGAGCGUGUUCGAUGAGUGAGAAGGGAUGGAGGCUGGGUUUUGUCGCUGUAUUGCUACCUCUGCCGUGCCCUGCUGAGGCUUCUAGAGCCGCUGCCAUCACUGCUGGAACGGGCUGGAGCUCGUCGCGAAAUGAGAGAGGCUAGGGCUGGCACCGUCUUGCCUGGGUUACUACCAUCGAUUUGGAGUUGCCAUAAAAGUGGCUGUUUCAUUUUUAGUAUUCAUCCUUCUGUGGUUGGAGUUGCUGCGAGUUGGAGCCACUGGAAGAGUGUUGCUGUUGCCGGAACCACCACCGGGACUGCCGCUUCAUGGUUCAGUCACUUCUUAUUUGUGGUAAGCGUUUACAUUCCAGUAACCCCUUUAGUCGCUGUCCUAUUAAACGUUGAAGUGUUAUAGCAUUCGUUGUUAUGAGAGUUAAUCCCGUUUGUUACGUAUUGCGAUUAGAGUUGAUGUGGUUACUGCAAAAGUGAGCAAGGCUGUGGUUCAAGCUGCCGGUGAUUUCGGGAUGAGACGGAAAGGACUCUGUGAGGCGUUUGGGUUAUGGAAUUGCGUUUUGAG